UACAGAGGUCCCAAGCGUUGUUCGGAAUUACUGGGCGUAAAGGGCUCGUAGGCGGCCAACUAAGUCAUACGUGAAAUCCCUCAGCUUAACUGGGGAACUGCGUGUGAUACUGGAUGGCUUGGAUUUGGGAGAGGGAUGCGGAAUUCCAGGUGUAGCGGUGAAAUGCGUAGAUAUCUGGAGGAACACCGGUGGCGAAGGCGGCAUCCUGGACCAAUAUUGACGCUGAGGAGCGAAAGCCAGGGGAGCAAACGGG
rnacentral:rRNA from 1 species